rnacentral:rRNA from 1 species
GAACGGCAUCCGGAACUGUCAGGCUAGAGUGCAGGAGAGGAAGGUAGAAUUCCCGGUGUAGCGGUGAAAUGCGUAGAGAUCGGGAGGAAUACCAGUGGCGAAGGCGGCCUUCUGGACUGACACUGACACUGAGGUGCGAAAGCGUGGGUAGCAAACAGGAUUAGAUACCCUGGUAGUCCACGCCGUAAACGAUGUCGACCAGCCGUUGGGUGCCUAGCGCACUUUGUGGCGAAGUUAACGCGAUAAGUCGACCGCCUGGGGAGUACGGCCGCAAGGUUAAAACUCAAAUGAAUUGACGGGGGCCCGCACAAGCGGUGGAGCAUGUGGUUUAAUUCGAUGCAACGCGAAGAACCUUACCUACUCUUGACAUCCUGCGAACUUGGUAGAGAUAC